rnacentral:tRNA from 1 species
UUCUAAUAUGGCAGAUUAGUGCAAUGGAUUUAAACCCCAUAAAUAAAGUUUAUUCUUUUUUUAGAA